rnacentral:snRNA from 1 species
GGGUGAUCUGGCUCUGAUAUAUGUCACCCCAUUGUAAUCCAGGGUUCAUUCAACUCACUUGGCUGGCAAGAUGGAUAACCCUUUCCUCCCUUGUGCAUCUUUCCCAAAGAUACAUGCAAUGUGUCUUAAGAGGACAGCAUUCCCUGAAUAAAGGAGGAUGGUUUUUCAGUCAAGUUUAUAUGGGUAGCUGAGCUCCCCUGCUAGAACCUCCCAACAAGCUCUAAAAAUGAAGAAAUAAAAGCAUAUCUAGUGGAGGAUAUUGCUGGUAUUCCCAUUUU